rnacentral:rRNA from 1 species
GACGUAGGGCGCGAGCGUUGUCCGGAUUUAUUGGGCGUAAAGAGCUCGUAGGCGGCUUGUCGCGUCGACCGUGAAAACUUGGGGCUCAACCCCAAGCCUGCGGUCGAUACGGGCAGGCUAGAGUUCGGUAGGGGAGACUGGAAUUCCUGGUGUAGCGGUGAAAUGCGCAGAUAUCAGGAGGAACACCGGUGGCGAAGGCGGGUCUCUAGGCCGAUACUGACGCUGAGGAGCGAAAGCGUGGGGAGCGAACAGG